UGGGCUUGACAUGUGAGCGACCGGCGUGGAAACACGUCCUCCCUUCGGGGCGCUCUCAC
rnacentral:rRNA from 1 species